GCAGGCUGUAACUUCUCUCUGCAGAAUCAGUGUCUCAGUGAAUAUCUUUGGGCAUACUGUGCACAGCAAGAUUUUGCAAUGCAAGUUAGUAAUGCUGAAACAAGCCUUGAUACAAAUGGGAGCACAGGAAUACUGGAUUUAAUCCUUGCAACUUGCACAGCAAACAUUUCUUCUACAGAUGGAGAGGAGGAAUAUGAAUGGAAAUCUUUCUAUACCUCCUUUAAGACUGAACAAUUGAUUACACUUUGGAUUUUGUUUAUAGUCAUCAUAGUUGGUAAUUCUAUUGUCCUGUAUUUAACGUGGAAGGAGAAAGUUCGAAAAAGAAAA